GACGAACGCUGGCGGCGUGCUUAACACAUGCAAGUCGAACGAUGAUGCUCCAGCUUUGUUGGGGUGGAUUAGUGGCGAACGGGUGAGUAACACGUGAGUAACCUGCCCUCUUCUUUGGGAUAACGGUCGGAAACGGCUGCUAAUACUGGAUAUUCACUCAUUGGCGCAUGUUGGUGGGUGGAAAGGUUUUUUCUGGUGGGGGAUGGGCUCGCGGCCUAUCAGCUUGUUGGUGGGGUGAUAGCCUACCAAGGCUUUGACGGGUAACCGGCCUGAGAGGGUGACCGGUCACAUUGGGACUGAGAUACGGCCCAGACUCCUACGGGAGGCAGCAGUGGGGAAUUUUGCACAAUGGGCGCAAGCCUGAUGCAGCGACGCCGCGUGAGGGAUGAAGGCCUUCGGGUUGUAAACCUUUUUCGCUCAUGGUCAAGCCGCAGCUUUGGGUUGUGGUGAGGGUAGUGGGUAAAGAAGCGCCGGCUAACUACGUGCCAGCAGCCGCGGUAAUACGUAGGGCGCGAGCGUUGUCCGGAAUUAUUGGGCGUAAAGGGCUUGUAGGCGGUUGGCCGCGUCUGCCGUGAAAUCCUCUGGCUUAACUGGGGGCGUGCGGUGGGUACGGGUUGACUUGAGUGCGGUAGGGGAGACUGGAAUUCCUGGUGUAGCGGUGGAAUGCGCAGAUAUCAGGAGGAACACCGGUGGCGAAGGCGGGUCUCUGGGCCGUUACUGACGCUGAGGAGCGAAAGCGUGGGGAGCGAACAGG
rnacentral:rRNA from 1 species